rnacentral:rRNA from 1 species
GCGGAAUGCUCAGUAACACGUGGACAAUCUGCCCUCGGGUGGGGAAUAAACUCGCGAAAGUGAGGCUAAUACCCCAUAGGCACAGGAGGCUGGAAUGCAUCUGUGCCCAAAGCUCCGGCGCCCGAGGAUGAGUCUGCGGCCUAUCAGGUAGUAGUCAGGGUCAAGACCUGACUAGCCAGCGACGGGUACGGGCCUUGAGAGAGGUCGCUCGGAGAUGGACUCUGAGACACGAGUCCAGGCCCUACGGGGCGCAGCAGGCGCGAAAACUUCGCAAUGCAGGAAACUGUGACGAGGGAACUCCAAGUGUCCAUGCAUUGCAUGGACUGUUUGCCAGCCUAAAAAGCUGGUAGAGUAAGGGGUGGGAAAGACCGGUGCCAGCCGCCGCGGUAACACCGGCACCUCAAGUGGUAGCCACUAUUAUUGGGCCUAAAGCGUUCGUAGCCGGCUUGGUUAAUUCCUGGGUAAAUCGUACCGCUCAACGGUGCGGAUUCCGGGGACACUGCCAGGCUUGAGACCGGGGGAGAUCAGAGGUACUUGCGGGGGAGCGGUGAAAUGUUGUAAUCCCGCAGGGACCACCAAUGGCGAAGGCAUCUGAUCAAAACGGCUCUGACGGUUAGGGACGAAAUCCCUGGGGCGCAAACGGGAUUAGAUACCCCGGUAGUCCAGGGCGUAAACGAAGCUC